GUUCUCCCCGAAAGCUAUUUAGGUAGCGCCUCGUGAACUCAUCUUCGGGGGUAGAGCACUGUUUCGACUAGGGGGUCAUCCCGACUUACCAACUCGAUGCAAACUACGAAUACCGAAGAAUGUUAUCACGGGAGACACACGGCGGGUGCUAACGUUCGUCGUGAAGAGGGAAACAACCCAGACCGCCAGCUAAGGUCCCAAAGUCAUAGUUAAGUGGGAAACGAAGUGGGAAGGCUCAGACAGCCAGGAUGUUGGCUUAGAAGCAGCCAUCAUUUAAAGAAAGCGUAAUAGCUCACUGGUCGAGUCGGCCUGCGCGGAAGAUGUAACGGGGCUAAACUAUGCACCGAAGCUGCGGCAGCGAUAUGUAAAUAUUGUUGGGUAGGGGAGCGUUCUGUAAGCCUGUGAAGGUGUACUGUGAGGUAUGCUGGAGGUAUCAGAAGUGCGAAUGCUGACAUAAGUAACGAUAAUGCGGGUGAAAAACCCGCACGCCGGAAGACCAAGGGUUCCUGUCCAACGUUAAUCGGGGCAGGGUGAGUCGACCCCUAAGGCGAGGCAGAAAUGCGUAGUCGAUGGGAAACGGGUUAAUAUUCCCGUACUGGUGAUAAUUGCGAUGGGGGGACGGAGAAGGCUAGGCUGGCCGGGCGACGGUUGUCCCGGUUUAAGGAUGUAGGCAGGUGAA
rnacentral:rRNA from 1 species